rnacentral:rRNA from 1 species
CACGGGGGAGCAAGCGUUGUUCGGAAUUACUGGGCGUAAAGGGCGUGUAGGCGGUCAGGUAAGUGGGAUGUGAAAUCCUCCGGCUCACCCGGAGACCUGCAUCCCAAACUGUCUGGCUUGAGUAUGGGAGAGGAUGAGGAAUUCCUGGUGUAGCGGUGAAAUGCGUAGAUAUCAGGAGGAACACCGGUGGCGAAAGCGCUCAUCUGGCCCAAUACUGACGCUGAGGCGCGAAAGCUAGGGGAGCAAACGGG